rnacentral:rRNA from 1 species
GACGAACGCUGGCGGCGUGCCUAAUACAUGCAAGUAGAACGCUGAAGGAGGAGCUUGCUUCUCUGGAUGAGUUGCGAACGGGAGAGUAACGCGUAGGUAACCUGCCUGGUAGCGGGGGAUAACUAUUGGAAACGAUAGCUAAUACCGCAUAAGAGUAGAUGUUGCAUGACAUUUGCUUAAAAGGUGCAAUUGCAUCACUACCAGAUGGACCUGCGUUGUAUUAGCUAGUUGGUGGGGUAACGGCUCACCAAGGCGACGAUACAUAGCCGACCUGAGAGGGGGAUCGGCCACACUGGGACUGAGACACGGCCCAGACUCCUACGGGAGGCAGCAGUAGGGAAUCUUCGGCAAUGGACGGAAGUCUGACCGAGCAACGCCGCGUGAGUGAAGAAGGUUUUCGGAUCGUAAAGCUCGGUUGUAAGAGAAGAACGAGUGUGAGAGUGGAAAGUUCACACUGUGACGGUAUCUUACCAGAAAGGGACGGCUAACUACGUG